rnacentral:rRNA from 1 species
CCUCGGAGGCAGCAGUGGGGAAUAUUGGACAAUGGGCGAAAGCCUGAUCCAGCCAUGCCGCGUGUGUGAAGAAGGCCUUCGGGUUGUAAAGCACUUUCAGUGGGGAAGAAAGCCUUGGGGCUAAUACCCUCGAGGAAGGACAUCACCCACAGAAGAAGCACCGGCUAACUCCGUGCCAGCAGCCGCGGUAAUACGGAGGGUGCGAGCGUUAAUCGGAAUUACUGGGCGUAAAGCGCGCGUAGGCGGUCUGAUAAGCCGGUUGUGAAAGCCCCGGGCUCAACCUGGGAACGGCAUCCGGAACUGUCAGGCUAGAGUGCAGGAGAGGAAGGUAGAAUUCCCGGUGUAGCGGUGAAAUGCGUAGAGAUCGGGAGGAAUACCAGUGGCGAAGGCGGCCUUCUGGACUGACACUGACGCUGAGGUGCGAAAGCGUGGGUAGCAAACAGGAUUAGAUACCCUGGUAGUC